rnacentral:tRNA from 1 species
GCCCCUGUGGCCUAAUGGCUAAGGCGUGGGUCUUCUAUGCGCUAGAAAACCUGAGAGUGCGGUAUGUGGAAGCUCUGCAAAAAUUUUCAAAUGAGACUAACAUUAGAAAGGGUUCGAGUCCCGCCAGGGGUU